rnacentral:rRNA from 1 species
CCUAGUAACGGCGAGUGAAGCGGCAACAGCUCAAAUUUGAAAUCUGGCGUCUUUGGCGUCCGAGUUGUAAUUUGCAGAGGGCGCUUUGGCAUUGGCAGCGGUCCAAGUUCCUUGGAACAGGACGUCACAGAGGGUGAGAAUCCCGUACGUGGUCGCUAGCCUUUACCGUGUAAAGCCCCUUCGACGAGUCGAGUUGUUUGGGAAUGCAGCUCUAAAUGGGAGGUAAAUUUCUUCUAAAGCUAAAUACUGGCCAGAGACCGAUAGCGCACAAGUAGAGUGAUCGAAAGAUGAAAAGCACUUUGGAAAGAGAGUUAAAAAGCACGUGAAAUUGUUGAAAGGGAAGCGCUUGCAGCCAGACUUGCCUGUAGUUGCUCAUCCGGGUUUCUACCCGGUGCACUCUUCUAUAGGCAGGCCAGCAUCAGUUUGGGCGGUUGGAUAAAGGUCUCUGUCAUGUACCUCCUUUCGGGGAGAACUUAUAGGGGAGACGACAUGCAACCAGCCUGGACUGAGGUCCGCGCAUCUGCUAGGAUGCUGGCGUAAUGGCUGUAAGCGGCCCGUCUUGAAACACGGACCAAGGAGUCUAACAUCUAUGCGAGUGUUUGGGUGUCAAGCCCGAGCGCGUAAUGAAAGUGAACGGAGGUGGGAACCUUUCGGGGUGCACCAUCGACCGAUCCUGAUGUCUUCGGAUGGAUUUGAGUAAGAGCAUAGCUGUUGGGACCCGAAAGAUGGUGAACUAUGCUUGAAUAGGGUGAAGCCAGAGGAAACUCUGGUGGAGGCUCGCAGCGGUUCUGACGUGCAAAUCGAUCGUCAAAUUUGGGCAUAGGGGCGAAAGACUAAUCGAACUAUCUAGUAGCUGGUUCCUGCCGAAGUUUCCCUCAGGAUAGCAGUAACGUUUUCAGUUUUAUGAGGUAAAGCGAAUGAUUAGAGGCAUGGGGGUUGAAACAACCUU